rnacentral:sRNA from 1 species
GACUGAUGGGACUCUGCCGAGGCGCUC